rnacentral:lncRNA from 1 species
CUGAAUUUGUCUAUCCCCAAUUUGCAAAUUCCAUUUGGGUUUAAUUCUCCAAUAUAAUCGUGCAUUUUCUGGUGUAGAAGACCAGUAUAGUUGUUUCUUCAAGGCCUGAGAAGACUGAAGACUGCAACUGAAGAAGAUAAGGCCAACUAUUGUUUGCUCUGCUCCUGCUUGCUGAUAAUGGAGAUGAUGAUUGUGACAGUGCUACUGAGGCUGCUUUAUCUUCUACUCCAGCCUUAUAAGCAUCAGUUACAAGUGGGUAGUUGGCUGUUUGUGGCUUUAUCAUCUGUUUCUUUUGUAUUUGAUAUUUUCUUUUGGGUGUUUUCAGUUUAUGUACUAGUGUUCUAGCUCUUUAUUAUUAAUAAUAAGACAUAUAAGUGUUUUAUUGAUAUGGUCAUGUUUCGGCUCAGAUUUCAGAUACAGUUUAUGAUUUAUGCUUACUUUCCUGUUUGAGAAGAAUUAUUACCAGAAUAAAGGAUUUUAGAUUCGGGAAUGGAAAUGAGAAGAAUUUAUAUAGAUUUGUUCAUUCUAGUUCAAUUCCUUUUCACUAACGUCAACUUUAUGGUUGCGUAGUAAAUAGAAAAAUCAUAGUGUGGGAACUAGCAUCUAAUGAGCUGUUGUGACUUGAGAUCAUUGAAGUAUUUUCCAAAGGGAUUAAGGGAAAAAGGACAGGUUCAAAGUCUGAGGAGGCUUAUCCCCAGAAGUGGAUACAGAGCACCUUGGAACAUUAUACAGAUUUGAAGCCAGCUGGAUUCCAAGAGCCUCCCCUGCUCUGAAUCUCAUGUAUUAUUCACUUCUCAAGUGGAUAUCUGAAUACUUAUUCAUGUAUCUUUUAGAGGGAUAAAAAACAUUGGUACCACAAUUUCGGAUUAUCAAGAUUGAACGAUGGUGAAUAAUAAUUACAAUGUAUAGGUGAAAAAGGAAUAAAUAAAUAAAUAGGC